rnacentral:rRNA from 1 species
UACGUAGGGUGCGAGCGUUGUCCGGAAUCACUGGGCGUAAAGGGCGCGUAGGUGGCGCGACAAGUCAACGGUGAAAGCUCGGCGCUCAACGCCGAGUCGGCCGUCGAUACUGUCGGGCUUGAGCACUGUAGAGGCAGAUGGAAUUCCGGGUGUAGCGGUGGAAUGCGUAGAGAUCCGGAAGAACACCGGUGGCGAAGGCGGUCUGCUGGGCAGUAGCUGACACUGAGGCGCGACAGCGUGGGGAGCAAACAGG